GGGCUUGACAUCCCACGAACCUGCCUGAAAGGGCGGGGUGCCCGCAAGGGAGCGCGGAGACAGGUGGUGCAUGGCUGUCGUCAGCUCGUGUCGUGAGAUGUUGGGUUAAGUCCCGCAACGAGCGCAACCCUCACCCCUAGUUGCCACCGGGUAAUGCCGAGCACUCGAGGGGAACUGCCAGCGUCAAGCUGGAGGAAGGCGGGGAUGACGUCAAGUCAUCAUGCCCCUUACGUCCUGGGCUACACACGUGCUACAAUGGCCGGUACAAAGGGAUGCAAGACCGCGAGGUGGAGCUAAACCCAAAAAGCCGGUCUAAGUUCAGAUUGGAGUCUGCAACUCGACUCCAUGAAGGAGGAAUCGCUAGUAAUCGCGCAUCAGCACGGCGCGGUGAAUACGUUCCCGGGCCUUGUACACACCGCCCGUCACACCACGAGAGCCAGCUGUACUCGAAGUCGCUGAG
rnacentral:rRNA from 1 species